AUGGAGACGGGACCUGGGCGUUUGUGCCUGGGGUGUGAUUUCCACUGUGACGGGGCCGCGACCCUGGUGCAGCAGCUCUCCUCAGUGGUGGGUACACCACAGAGAGGGGCGACUGAGCUGCCAGCAGUCAGCAGCCCCUGCCCAGAGGGAAUGUGUGCCCUGGUCCUGAGAAAGGCUCAGGCCCGACCCCUCAGGCCGCAGCUGGCAGCGGGCCACUCUCUCCUCUUGUCCUCAGAUUCCCUAAGACAGAGAAUCAAGGAACAGGAACUCAGCAUUCCCCACGGCACUCUGUGCAAAAAUCAGGAUCCCGUCGAGCACGUCCUUGACUUAUGGCCCCCGGAGGAGGUCGAUCAGCACCUCCUCUCUGCACCCCCACCCCACCCCACCAGGGAAGUUGAUAUCUCUUCCUGUUCCAGUGCCGGAAAGCGUAGGUCUCAGAGGGGAGGCCCUGAGGAGGAGUCCCCUAGGCCCCGGCCGCCUCCCUCUCUCUCCUUCAUUCUCUCUCAGGAUCCACCUCCUCCCCGCAUCAAGGAUCCUAGGACCAGACAGCCACGUUGAAGGUCGCAGGUGCCACUCCUCGGCGGCUCUUGGGCGGCGCCCGCACAUGCGGAGCCUGCCACCCACCGGGGACGGGCGGUACUGCAGGCGCGGGGGCCGCUCACCUGGAAAUGUUUACCGCGCCGGGCCCAGGGGCCUCGCCCCGCAGGCGGCUUGCGGUCUCUGGGAACAAACGCCAGCGACCCUCGCGUGGGUAGCAACUUUCUCAUCUGCAUUUGGUGGACGCCUUUGUUCUUACAACUCAAGUAAUGUACAUUUAUGGCAGAAUAUUUUAAACAAAAUAUUAAAGACUAGCUAUAACUCCUGCUAACCUGUGCGUGUAGUCUUCAUGGUAUUUUUCUAUGCAUUUUACAAUUGUGGAAGCAGACAUUUCAUAAUAUUUUGUAGCCCGCUAUGUCUUUUUUCUUUUUGUAUUAUUGGAGAUUGAACCAAGAGCCAGCUACUUGGGAGGCUGAGGCAGGAGUAUUCCAAGUUUAACACCCAGCCUGAACUUUUUCUUUUCUUUUUUCCUUUUCUUUCCUUUUCGUUUUUUGGGUUUUUUUUUUGUUUGUUUGUUCUCUGGUACCGGGAAUCGAACUCAUGACCUUGCACUUGCCAGGCAGGCACUGUGCCGCUGAGCUAUCUUUCCUUUUCUUUUUUUUUCUUUUCUUUUCUUUUUCUUUCUUUUCUUUCUCUUUCAUUUCUUCCUUCCUUCUUUUCUUUCUUUCUUCUUCUUUCUUUCUUUCUUUCUUUCUUUCUUUCUUUCUUUCUUUCUCUUCCUUCUUUCCUUCCUUCCUUCCUUUGAGACAGGGUUCCACUAUGUAGCCCAGGCUGGCCUCUAAUUUGCAGCAAUCCCCCUGCCUCAGCCUCCCAACUGCUAAGAUCACAGGCAUGUGCCACCAUUCCCAGCCAGCCUGAACAAUUCAGUGAGACAGUGUCUUUAAAAUAAAAAAGACUGAACCAUUUUGUUAUACCAGCUCUGGGCCAGCCCUCAAGGGGAUUCAGAGGAACUGCGAAAGAACAGGAUCUCCUGGAACUCACAAUGGAAAUGAGGAAAUGGAACAGUCCUUGUUCUACAAGGUACAGUGAGUUUAAACACUGCUAUGGACCUAGGCCACAGGGCAGGAGGUAAGCAGGGAAGGCUCCCUGUGAGAGCUGGGGACGGGGCGGGGACUGCAGAUACAGGUGAGAAAGUGAGUAGCAAGCGCACUUCCAGACAGAGGCCAGGCUGAGAGGCCUCUGGUGCAGAUAUGUAU
ensembl:lincRNA